AAACCUCAUUCACUGAUUCAUUUGUCAUUAAAACAGAGUCUCUAAGAACUGAUGACUUCAAUGAUGGGAACAAGAUGUAAACUUCACUAAAUGUCAUGCUGCCAAAAUAUAACUGUCCUCAGAGCCUGAAUCAAGGCUCCUUAUGAACAGUUUAUGUUCAUUGUUGGGCCUCUGAGUCCUGGAAGAAUGUAAAAGAGGAAACAGCCCUCUGCCUUCACUCACUUCUCCUAUGUAUCUUCCCUUUCUUAUUCAAGUUUGAAGUAGAACACGUUGAUCCAGUUGGCGGAAAGUAUUACAGUACAGAACCUCACUGUAACUACAGCUUGAGGACUGUUCAUGAGAAAAGGCAGUUGAAACUGCGUGGACUUUUGAAAGUGCAAGCAUAAGAAGGUAUCUGAAGUUUUGAAAAUCUAAGCAAAGAGUGAGACCCCAAGAAUGAAAUCACUGUGUGUGAUGAAACCCUGUUUUCCUGAAAAUGGCUGAACAUUUAUCUGCAAGUGUGAAGCAAAGAAUGAAUUCCUGACUUUGCUUUGCUUGCACACCCAGGUAUUUAUGUAUCUCAAUACACAGAGUUGACAUUGUUCUGCAUGUGCGUGAAACCGGUUUGGAAAACUUUUUACCCUCCUGAGAAGAUACACUGGAUUUUAGAAGGCAUUAAACUUUGUAUGCUUAAUCUUCAUUGUGCCAUCACAUAGGAUCACAGAGACUGAUAACCAGUUCACUGAAAAUUUAGUGGACCACGGACACCUCUUUCUUCCCUGCCCAUCUGGAAUUGGUAUCAACCUAUUCUAUUCAUAUUUUUUAUAUCCUGUCUGUCAUCUUAGUUUCUCACAACUUUAUAUUCUUGACUUGCUGUAAACAAUACUUCUGUAGUUAUGGGAAUGACUAAAAGGUAGAAGAAGCUGAUGGAGAAAUCAUUAAUUGGCAUUCAUCAUUUUGAGAUAUUCAUACAGCAAAUACAGUCAAACAUUCCAGUGUAUGGAAUGGGCCCUCAUUUUCUAAUACUAAAGCAGAUAGAAUGAAUACCCUUUCUAAUGAGGAACUCCAGAACUUUAGAAUAUCUUUCAUGUAGUUGUGCGCUGAGUACAUGAAAGACAUUCAUUCUAGUUUAAAGGAUGAUAUUGACAAGAAAAAAAGAAUCAUUAUUUAGCUCUACAGAUACUAGAAACUGCAAACUGUGGAAGAAGUUUGCACUGAUGAUCACGGUGUGUCAAAUAAAAGGUUUCC
rnacentral:lncRNA from 7 species